GUGAGUUUUAGCAGUUCGUUGGAUGCUGUCUUCCUAGAAAAUAUAUGGAAAAAUAAUCCCUCUUCUCUUCCCUGGACAGCUAUGGAAGAGAACUUUUGUUAUGAUCCUUGAAGUUAAUUGACAGCAAGCCUUGAUGAACUUACGGGGAGGAGAAGAUAAAAAGUAAUAAUAGAAUAAGAAAACAGAAGUGUGAUGUAAAGACACAAUUGGAGACACUGAUUGUUUCACCAAGGCUUUAUCUGAAAUGCCAUGUUUUCAGACUGUUUUCAAAAAUUGGAGUUGACUUAUAGAGCCAAUAAAAACCCCUUGGAGAAACUGGCCUCAUGUCUUAUCUAUCCAGUCCCUGUACAAGAUUCCUGUGGGGUGAGGACUAUUAAACUUUGUGCCUCUCAGGCUUGAAAUCCCCCAGUCAAGCUAAUGGUGGAACAACCAAUACUAUCCCAGGAGGAUCUGAGUCCCUGUACAUCAUUAGACCAGUCAGUGAGAGAUUUUUACAGCCUCCAAAGUUAGGCAGGGAUGACAACCCCGAUGAGCAGGAAAUAGCUCCAGAAGAUGAGAACUCUAGCCCCUUCUCCUUAAGAAAAAGGAAGAUAAAAUCUCUCAGACUUUGCUGUACCACCUCCAUUAGUGCCAUACCUGCUCACCAGACCUUGCAAACUAUAUGAAGAAACUAAGAUAGGCAGCCACCAUAAAUCCACCAUAAAUCUUAUUCAGAGGAGUUAACCCUAUUACAGGCAAGACCAGCAGAAUGACUGAUCCUGACCUUUUGCCUCAUUGUAAUGUGUCUGGAGUUGGUUCCUUCCAGUGGGUUCUUGGUCUCGCUGAUUUCAAGAAUGAAGCUGCGGACUUUGAGGUGAGUGUUACAGCUCUUAAAGGUGGCACGGACCCAAAGAGUGAGCAGCAGCAAGAUUUACUGUGAAGAGCGAACGAAGAAAGCUUCCACAGCGUGGAAGGGGACCCGAGUGGGUUGCCGCUGCUGGCUGGGGUGGCCAGCUUUUUUUUUUUUAUAUAUACUUUAAGUUCUAGGGUACAUGUGCACAAUGUGCAGGUUUGUUACAUAUAUUUACAUGUGCCAUGUUGGUGUGCUGCACCCAUUAACUCAUCAUUUACAUUAGGUAUUUCUCCUAAUGCUAUCCCUCCCCCCUCCCCCGACCCCAUGACAGGUCCCGGUGUGUGAUGUUCCCCACCCUGUGUCCAAGUGUUCUCAUUGUUCAAUUCCCACCUAUGAGUGAGAACACGCAGUGUUUGGUUUUCUGUCCUUGUGGUAGUUUGCUCAGAAUGAUGGUUUCCAUCUUCAUUUGGGGUGGCCAGCUUUUAUUCCCUUAUUUGUUCCCACACACAACCUGCUGAUUGGUCCAUUUUACAGAGUGCUGAUUGGUCCACUUUACAGAGUGCUGAUUGAUCCAUUUUACAGAGCACUUAUUGGUCCAUUUUACAGUGUGCUGAUUGGUCCAUUUUACAAACCUCUAGCUAGCCACAGAGAGCUGAUUGGUGCGUUUUACAAACCUCUAACUAGACAGAAAAGUUAUCCCAUUCCCCACUUGACCCAGGAAGUCCAGCUGGCUUCACCUCUCAAUAAUACUAAAAUCCCCACUCAAGGAGGAGCUUUCUGCCACUUUUUAGUCAUGUGAUGUAUGAAAAAGUAUGUUUCUACACUACGUUUGCACAGCUGAAACCCCCUCCCUAAUCAUGCUGACAUAGCUUUCCUUUAACAUUGACUCCUUUCCCUUGCCAAAUAAAGGAUCACAAGCUGGUGAACUCUCCCUCCUGUACAGUCUCUCUGGUGCUCAAACAUAAGCCCCCAAUAAAAGCUUUGUCUGGGAAAUUUGCUUGGCCUUGUGUCAGUUUCUACUGCGUAGGAGCCUAAGAACUUGUGGCUGGUAACAGAUUCAAUGAGUAUUUUUGUAAUUGGAGGAUAGGUUUUCAAUAAGUAAGCAUCAUAGGAAAAUUCUUAUAUCUAAAAAAAUUUUCUUAUGUGGGUAAAGUUUAACAUUAAGGACUCAGACCCUCGAAUUGGCAUAAAGAGAAUUUUAAACUAAAGACAUCUGAGAUUCAACAGAUGCAGACGGAAGUCUUUUCAAGCUUCCCUUAUCUUACUAAAAGCAGAAACUUCUGGGAAUGACGCUAAAGGGAGUUUUAUAGCCAUGAAGAUAAAAAUGGAAAAGACCACUCACACAUGCAUAAACAAGCAUCUCAAAGUUUAUUUUCUCCUGUUUGUUCACUUAGGAAUCUUUUGUUCUUUCCAUAGAAGCCUUUUCUCUUGACCCCUCACCCCUAUUAAGUUAGGUAUAUAAACCUCUAACUCUAGCCAUUUAGUCAGCUGCUGCUUUUGUGCAUUAGCAUAUGCAUAUAAAUAAAUUUUAGGGUUUUUUUUUCUGUUAAUGUGUCUAUUGUCAGUUAAAUUCACAGGUCACCAUUUACAGAAUUUAAAAGGAUAGAGGAAAAGUUUUCCUUCCUGAUAACAUUCUAUCCAUAAUGAGUUUAAAUAUAAUGGCUAUUUCUGGGAGAAAUGAUAGUAAGAAAAGUGUUUAUAUGAUGUAUCACUAGAGAUACACAUGAUCAAUAUUAAGGCUGAUAUUUUGAAAAUAUUAUCUCCUACAUUUUAAAAGUUUAUGGUCACUGGCCAGGUGCAGUGGCUCAUGCCUGUAAUCCUAGCACUUUGGGAGGCCGAGGUAGGUGGAUCACUUGACUUCAGGAGCUCAAGGCCAGCCCGGGCUACAUGGUAAAACUAUUUCUCUACAAAAAAUAUUAGAAUUAGCCAGGCUUGGUGGCUUGUGCCUAUAGUUCCAGCUCCCUGGGGGGCUGAAGCGGGAGGAUUGCUUAAACCCAGGAGGUGGAAGUUGCAGUGAGCCGAGAUUGUACCACUGCACUCCAGCCUGGGCAACAGAGCGAGACUCUGUAAAUUAAAAAAAAAAAAAAAGAAAGAAAAAAAAAGUUUAUGGGUUUAUAGUUCCUUAAAGCUUGGUGGAUUUCUUUGUUAAAUAUUUUGGUUAACAAACUAGAGAGGAAUUAAAAGGGGUAAGUAUCAAAUUUUAAAAGUGUGAAAAAUAUAUGAAAUUAAAAGUUUUUAAAACAUCAAAAUACCAAGC
rnacentral:lncRNA from 10 species